rnacentral:rRNA from 1 species
GUCGAACGCUGGCGGCGUGCUUAACACAUGCAAGUCGAACGGAAAGGCCCUGCUUGCAGGGUACUCGAGUGGCGAACGGGUGAGUAACACGUGGGUGAUCUGCCCUGCACUUCGGGAUAAGCCUGGGAAACUGGGUCUAAUACCGGAUAGGAGCCAUUUUUAGUGUGAUGGUUGGAAAGUUUUUUCGGUGUAGGAUGAGCUCGCGGCCUAUCAGCUUGUUGGUGGGGUAAUGGCCUACCAAGGCGGCGACGGGUAGCCGGCCUGAGAGGGUGGACGGCCACAUUGGGACUGAGAUACGGCCCAGACUCCUACGGGAGGCAGCAGUGGGGAAUAUUGCACAAUGGGCGCAAGCCUGAUGCAGCGACGCCGCGUGGGGGAUGACGGCCUUCGGGUUGUAAACUCCUUUCGCUAGGGACGAAGCUUUUUGUGACGGUACCUAGAUAAGAAGCACCGGCUAACUACG